AUUGAACGCUGGCGGCAGGCCUAACACAUGCAAGUCGAGCGGAUGAAGGGAGCUUGCUCCUGGAUUCAGCGGCGGACGGGUGAGUAAUUCCUAGGAAUCUGCCUGGUAGUUGGGGAUAACGUCCGGAAACGGGCGCUAAUACCGCAUACGUCCUGAUGGAGAAAGUGGGGGAUCUUCGGACCUCACGCUAUCAGAUGAGCCUAGGUCGGAUUAGCUAGUUGGUGGGGUAAAGGCCUACCAAGGCGACGAUCCGUAACUGGUCUGAGAGGAUGAUCAGUCACACUGGAACUGAGACACGGUCCAGACUCCUACGGGAGGCAGCAGUGGGGAAUAUUGGACAAUGGGCGAAAGCCUGAUCCAGCCAUGCCGCGUGUGUGAAGAAGGUCUUCGGAUUGUAAAGCACUUUAAGUUGGGAGGAAGGGCAGUAAGUUAAUACCUUGCUGUUUUGACGUUACCAACAGAAUAAGCACCGGCUAACUUCGUG
rnacentral:rRNA from 1 species